ACUGACUUCAGGCCCCUUGUAGUGCUUCCCGGACAUCCUCUGCGCUCAUGAAGACACUUUGCUCGCAGCCAGGGUGAACAGGGCCUCAUCUUUGGGAUGGAGUAGUAUACAAAUCUGCAUUCCUCUGCCAUACGUUUUGGAUAUUCAAUGAAACAGGCUUAUUCUUUAAAUUACUUGAAACUGGAAUUUAAAAGCUGCUGACUUUAGGAAAAAAAAGAGUGCAACGGAAGAGGGAUCAAUUCUCUUGGGCAGAAAAUAUGGAAACAGCACCACCUUCAAUUUGUAAAACACUGCUGUCAGGGUGGGGUGGUUUGGCAGUGAGUACAAAUGUGCACAGUCCUGCAGCCCUGUGGGGCUGUCUGCACUCAGAGCACCACUGCUGUCUUUCUACUGCUCUGCAGGUUGCCUGCUGUGCUCUGCAAACACACCCCUCUCCUAUGGUUAUUUUUGAAACAGCUCCUUCAAACAGAUGUCCUCAUAUAUAUCUCUUCCCCACUACACAAAUAACAGUUUGCCUCAUGUUCCUGCCAGCCUUUUGAACUAAUUAAAAAAAAAAAAAAAAAAAAAAA